UCCGGUUUAUCACCGGCGGUCCCUGUCGAGUCCCCAUCAGCCUUUCGGCCAUGCAGCACCUGUGUCCAGGUUCCCUUUCGGGCACCCCUCCAUCUCUGGAUGCGUCUGGUGCAUGUCAAACCCAGGUAAGGUUCUUCGCGUUGCAUCGAAUUAAUCCACAUGCUCCGCCGCUUGUGCGGGCCCCCGUCAAUUCCUUUGAGUUUUAGCCUUGCGGCCGUACUCCCCAGGCGGGGCGCUUAAUGCGUUAGCUACGGCACAGAGACCGUGGAAUGGCCCCCACACCUAGCGCCCACCGUUUACGGCGUGGACUAC
rnacentral:misc_RNA from 1 species